rnacentral:rRNA from 1 species
GUGGGGAAUCUUCCGCAAUGGACGAAAGUCUGACGGAGCAACGCCGCGUGAGUGAUGACGGCCUUCGGGUUGUAAAACUCUGUUAUACGGGACGAAUGGACGAGAGGCCAAUACCCUUUCGGAGUGACGGUACCGUAAGAGAAAGCCACGGCUAACUACGUGCCAGCAGCCGCGGUAAUACGUAGGUGGCAAGCGUUGUCCGCAAUUAUUGGGCGUAAAGGGCGCGCAGGUGGUUUCUUAAGUCCGUCUUAAAAGUGCGGGGCUUAACCACGUGAGGGGACGGAAACUGGGAGACUAGAGUAUCGGAGAGGAAAGCGGAAUUCCUAGUGUAGCGGUGAAAUGCGUAGAUAUUAGGAGGAACACCAGUGGCGAAAGCGGCUUUCUGGACGACAACUGACACUGAGGCGCGAAAGCCAGGGGAGCAAACGGGAUUAGAUACCCGUGUAGUCC